ensembl:snoRNA small nucleolar RNA SNORA15
GCAUGGAUGAAUUCUGUGUUGGCUUUGACAGUGGCCAAUGGAGUCAGACACCAUGCAAAAUGAAAGUUCCUGCUGUGGACACUCCUAGCGGCAUGCUGCAUAUUUGGUAGCCUGCCCAAGUCUGGAAAGGAUACAGGU